UACGUAGGGUGCAAGCGUUGUCCGGAAUCAUUGGGCGUAAAGAGCGUGUAGGCGGCUCGAUUAGUCCGCUGUAAAAGUCCAGGGCUCAACCCUGGGAUGCCGGUGGAAACUGUCGGGCUAGAGUCCGGGAGAGGCGAGUGGAAUUCCUGGUGUAGCGGUGAAAUGCGUAGAUAUCGGGAGGAACACCUGUGGCGAAAGCGGCUCACUGGACCACAACUGACGCUGAUGCACGAAAGCUAGGGGAGCAAACAGG
rnacentral:rRNA from 1 species